UACUAUGCCCAACCAUAAACUUAGACAAUACUUCACCAUAUUGUUCGCCAGAGUACUACAAGCGCUAGCUUAAAACCCAAAGGACUUGGCGGUAUCCCACACCCACCUAGAGGAGCCUGUUCUAUAACCGAUAAUCCCCGUUCAACCUCACCACUUCUUGCCAUUACCGUCUAUAUACCGCCGUCGUCAGCUCACCCUGUGAAGGGUCAAAAGUAAGCAAAAAGAAUUAAAACUCCAAAACGUCAGGUCGAGGUGUAGCAAAUGAAGUGGGAAGAAAUGGGCUACAUUUUUUACCAAAAACAUACGAAUGGUAAAUUGAAAAUAUACCUAAAGGUGGAUUUAGCAGUAAGAGAAGAUCAGAGUACUUCCCUGAAAUUGGCUCUGGGAUGCGCACACACCGCCCGUCACUCUCCUCAAAAACCUACUUAUUUUUUAUAAAUACAUUUCUUUAACAAGAGGAGGCAAGUCGUAA
rnacentral:rRNA from 1 species